rnacentral:rRNA from 1 species
UACUGACGCUGAAGUUCGAAAGCGUGGGUAUCGAACAGGAUUAGAUACCCUGGUAGUCCACGCGGUAAACGAUGGAUGCUCGCUGUUUGCCUUGUUUUGGUAAGCGGCCAAGCGAAAGCGUUAAGCAUCCCACCUGGGGAGUACGCCGGCAACGGUGAAACUCAAAGGAAUUGACGGGGGCCCGCACAAGCGGAGGAACAUGUGGUUUAAUUCGAUGAUACGCGAGGAACCUUACCCGGGCUUGAACUGCAGGAGAACGAACCAGAGAUGGUGAGGCCCUUCGGGGCUCCUGUGGAGGUGCUGCAUGGUUGUCGUCAGCUCGUGCCGUGAGAUGUCGGCUUAAGUGCCAUAACGAGCGCAACCCCUUUCCGCAGUUGCCAUCAGGUUAGGCUGGGCACUCUGCGGACACUGCCACCGCAAGGUGCGAGGAAGGUGGGGAUGACGUCAAAUCAGCACGGCCCUUACGUCCGGGGCUACACACGUGUUACAAUGGCGCAUGCAGAGAGCCGGUCCGCGGCAACGCGGGUCCAAUCAUGAAAGUGCGUCGUAGUUCGGAUUGGGGUCUGCAACCCGACCCCAUGAAGCUGGAUUCGCUAGUAA